AUUGAACGCUGGCGGCAGGCCUAACACAUGCAAGUCGAGCGGAGGAAGGGAGCUGGCUCCUGGAUUCAGCGGCGGACGGGUGAGUAAUGCGUAGGAAUCUGCCUGGUAGUGGGGGAUAAAGUCGGGAAACGGGCGCUAAUACCGCAUACGUCCUGAGGGAGAAAGGGGGGGAUCUUCGGACCUCACGCUAUCAGAUGAGCCUAGGUCGGAUUAGCUAGUUGGUGGGGUAAAGGCCUACCAAGGCGACGAUCCGUAACUGGUCUGAGAGGAUGAUCAGUCACACUGGAACUGAGACACGGUCCAGACUCCUACGGGAGGAAGCAGUGCGGAAUAUUGGACAAUGGGCGAAAGCCUGAUCCAGCCAUGCCGCGUGUGUGAAGAAGGUCUUCGGAUUCUAAAGCACUUUAAGUUGGGAGGAAGGGCAGUAAGUUAAUACCUUGCUGUUUUGACGUUACCAACAGAAUAAGCACCGGCUAACUUCGUG
rnacentral:rRNA from 1 species